rnacentral:rRNA from 1 species
UACGAAGGGGGCGAGCGUUGUUCGGAAUUACUGGGCGUAAAGGGCGCGUAGGCGGCUUGCCAAGUCAGGCGUGAAAGCCCUGGGCUCAACCUGGGGACUGCGCUUGAUACGGCAUGGCUAGAGGAUGGAAGAGGGUCGCGGAAUUCCCAGUGUAGAGGUGAAAUUCGUAGAUAUUGGGAAGAACACCGGUGGCGAAGGCGGCGACCUGGUCCAUUACUGACGCUGAGGCGCGACAGCGUGGGGAGCAAACAGG